rnacentral:rRNA from 1 species
UACGGUAGGUGGCAAGCGUUUGUUUCGGAUUCGAUUGGGCGUAAAGGGCGCGUAGGCGGCCAUGCGAUGUCUUCCGUGAAAUCCCUCGGACUUAACUGAGGACGUGCGGAAGAAACUGCAAGGCUCGAGUCCGGGAGAGGGGGUGGAAUUCCCAGUGUAGCGGUGAAAUGCGUAGUAUAUUGGGAGGAACACCGGUGGCGAAGGCGGCCCCCUGGACCGGUACUGGACGCUGAGGCGCGAAAGCGUGGGUAGCAAAC